AGUUUUGAUUGGAGAUCAAUAAACGGUAUGGUAAGCGAUUUAUAGUUCAAGUAGUUAAGAAUAUUUAACUUUCAUUGCAUUCAAUGUUAUAGGUUCGAUUCCCCACUCCCUUAAUAUCACUUUAAUAAAAAUAAACCUUAAAUUCGAAUUUAUAUGAUAUUUUACAAGAUAUCCUUGAAAAAUGGGACAUAUGAUUGAUUCAUUUACAUAAUUUCUAUUGUCUCUCCCUAUC
rnacentral:lncRNA from 1 species